rnacentral:rRNA from 1 species
GGGUGCAAACGUUGCUCGGAAUUAUUGGGCGUAAAGCGCGCGUAGGCGGUUAUUCAAGUCGGAUGUGAAAGCCCUCGGCUUAACUGAGGAAGUGCACCCGAAACUGAGUAGCUAGAGUACCAAAGAGGGUCGCGGAAUUCCCGGUGUAGAGGUGAAAUUCGUAGAUAUCGGGAGGAACACCGGUGGCGAAGGCGGGUCUCUGGGCCGAUACUGACGCUGAGGAGCGAAGGCGUGGGGAGCGAACAGG